rnacentral:lncRNA from 1 species
GAUGUUUCUGGUUGUCUGGCUGGACGGCUUAAACAACAGGAGUUAAUUUUCUUACAGUUUUGGAGGCUGGAAACCCAAGAUCAAGGUCUGCAGGAUGAUGGUGGGAAUCUGCACUGACCUCUUCUAGUCAGUCACUUUCCUGUAUGUGCAACUUUUGGUGACAAGAUGCAUGAACCCAACUGGAACCAGCUGAAGAUUAUGGAGUUGCUCUCAGCGUCCACUAAAAGCCAGAAUCCAGGCUUUGGGAAGGAAAGGCAAAUCCAGCACCUCGAAAACUAGACUGAGAGACC